UUGGCAACUCCUAACAAUAAAAGAGAAAGUUCUGAAUAGGGGAGAACACAAUGAGGCACUGGAAGGAGCGGUAGCUCACCCCACAAAAACCGGAAUGGUCAGGACCCAACAUUGAAUUCACCAAUGGGCAGCCGUAGACGCAGGACCAAACUUGUGUCACGUGAAAAAAUCCUACCAAUCGAAAACCUUAGCUCGCCAAGAGCGGAAACCACAUCCAUAACGAAACCCAUCUCCACUCUCUCAUUCUGUGGUGAGACAUCCUCGGGCUCGCAUGUGGAGAGUUCGCAGUGCCGGUUUAUAACAAGUAUAUUUUCCAUCUUGGAUUUUGUACUUGACUUGGUGACUUAUUGAAGACAAAGAUCGCUUGCACGGCAAGGUGAAAUCCUCCAUCGAUUAUUCAUCUCUGGACAUCUUUCUAGCUCGGAGGAAAAAUCUUCGAGAUUUCUCACUUAAGAGAUUGGCAUAUGACGGUUGCCCUGCAAAGGUUAUACUGGUUAUAAAAUUCCACGAGGGAGAAAUUUUACUACACAAGAUAGAAGGCUUGUACCUGGGAACUGCACGAAGGAAAGUUUAACCAUUCUGGAGCCAAAAACCGCCAAGUGCCAAGUUUUCGAAAAUUAUUGCGAAGCUACAAAGCUUCAGAGCGAUGCAGAGCAAAUCAAAGGAACUUUCAAAGAUUUCAACAAGUAUGGACCCGAGAAUUCCAGCCGAUUUCUUAUAUAAAAAGCGAAAGUCCCGAUCGGCCGCCAAGCACAGCCGGAAUCGACGAAACAAGCAAGCACGUAAAGCACGCGAGCUUUUAGAUCUCAAAUACCGCGAAUGUUUAAACACUUUAAGUAAUCUGCGAGUUACCAAUUCAUUUUCUUCUUCUCUUGACAGAGUAAAUCCGUCUAAACUAGAUCAAUCAUUUCCCUCAACUCCCCCCUCUCAUUUAUCAGUCACUCCGAAAACGAAUCUGUCAUUCCCUCUUUAAUCUCUUCUUCAGAUUUCCCCUAGAAUAUAAGAAUAGAUGUAUAGGAAAAAAUUUAGAGAAAUGGAUGUAGGAAUAAUAUAUUUAUAAAGAUGCAUGUGUAGGUAGAAUGAGUAGGUAAAAUGUUAUAUUUUACUUAUAAUUAAGUUAUAUCGAAAUUAUAUGUGUUAUAUGUUAAGGGGGAAUAUAUACCUAGAAACGAAAAAAAAGGUAAUGUUUUGGAAUUUUUUUCAGGGGAACCAUUGGAAUUAUCGGGUCGUGGUUUUUUGUAGUUAAAAAUAUACACUUUCAAGACUGUUUAACAUUUUUUUUAUUUAAAAAUGUUGCAAAUUUACCGAGUACUGGAGUCGUCUACGGAGUGCCGUAAAAAAAUGUUCUAUGACAAAACGGUACCCAGCGGCGAUUUGUCAAAAAUCAUCUAAAACAAAAAAUGAAACAGGAAAUGAAAAUAGAUACUAUUAUCUUUGGAGUGUCAUAGCCGAUUUUAUAAAUAUCGAUUUUUUACAAAAUGGCGGGCGCUUGAACUCAACGUAGCGAUUUUCAAAAAAAAAUUUGUUUCUUUUUUACAAAAAAAAAACUAAGAAUUGAAAAAAAAAUUCUAUGACACGCGAUAGAUAAUUAUGUAUACAAUAACCACGAGAAUUUUUAAGUCCAUCGGUUUAGUGGUUUACGAGAUAUUAUGGGUACCAGUUUAAAAAACGUUGGAUUGAGAAAAACGCGUUUGCAAAUGUUUUUAUAUAUAAACUAUGAAAUUUGUUCAACUUACACAGAGUCAUCGAUACCAGGUCCAUAAUAUAAGUUUUCCGAAGUGGACGGUACGCCCAUAUCUUCUAAAUUUUGUUGUCGGCGUCGUAGUCGCCCUUUUUUCUUUUCUAGGUGUAUAUUCCCCCUUAAAACGUAUUAUUUUUUAUAUAAAAUAUAUUAUCUUUAUUACGUAAUAUUAGCAUAUACGAUAUCAGGAUAUUAAACUUGUUAUGUUAUGUAAUAUUAAAUUCAGUCGUAUCAAAAUUUUAUAAUUCAAGUAUAAUUAAGUAAAAGUAGAUUAAAUUUGGACAUAAAAUCUCGUAAUUUUUUAUUUAUUUCUAUCAAGAAUUUUAUACUAAUAUUAUUUCAUAUUAAUUUUAAAAAGGACAUAUAUUGUCGAGACCGUGCAGAAAAAAGAUUACAAUUGUCGUCAGACUUAUUGUUCGGUUUGUACAGCUUAUCGAUUAUGAAGAAAAGGCAUUCUACUAUACGAGCGUGAAAUCAUUUAAUUUGACAAUUUCUAUUUUAGGUUGGAGGUAAUAAUUAUUUUCUUGUUCUUUGUGAACGUUAUAUAACCCAGUAAGCAAGUAACAUCAAGAAACAUUU